UACAGAGGUCCCAAGCGUUGUUCGGAUUCACUGGGCGUAAAGGGUGCGUAGGCGGUUUGACAAGUCUGAUGUGAAAUCCCGCAGCUUAACUGCGGAACUGCAUUGGAAACUGUUUGACUAGAGGAAUGGAGGGGAGACUGGAAUACUUGGUGUAGCAGUGAAAUGCGUAGAUAUCAAGUAGAACACCAGUGGCGAAGGCGAGUCUCUGGACAUUUCCUGACGCUGAGGCACGAAAGCCAGGGGAGCAAACGGG
rnacentral:rRNA from 1 species